rnacentral:lncRNA from 1 species
UACAGAUUACGCACGCAAGUCGAGGAAUAAUAAAUAGUGCUUUUUGAGGUCUUAAAACACAGAAUUAAUUAUUAAAUUUAAAGAUGACAUCUUGGGUUAUCACACCUAUGGAAAUUUUCAGAACUGAAUUCUGACCCCGAUAUCAAAAAAUCAACUCCCUGGUCAAACUUUCAAACUUAAAUUUUUUAUUUUUGCCAUUUCAAGCCAAAUUCAACUACGGACUUCAAAAUAAAUAUCCAGACACACUCCUAAGUCCAAAACUACCAUACAGAGCUAUUGGAAUCGUCAAAACUCUAUUCCGGGGUCGUUUACACAUAAGUUAACAUCUGGUCAACCUUUUCAACUUAAGCUUUAAAUAUGAGUUUCAUUUUUUCCGAAUUAAUCCCGAAACACCUGAAAUUCAAAACCGACGAUUCACACACGUCAUAAUAUAUCAUAUGAAGCUAUUCAAAAUUUCAAAUAGUAGAAAGGAGUGUAAAUGCCCAAAACGACCGGUCGGAUCGUUACAAAAAGUACAUACUUUGUCAACUAAUGUUUUGUUUCCCUAUGAGAAAAUAUAAAUGGCUAUGAAAAAAAUAAGUGCAAAAGAUAUUGAAAACCAUAUUUAUGCAUUCAUUGUAAAUAAAGUAACUGGAAACUAUGUAAUAGUAGAUAGUAGAUCCAUUAGACCACUAGUAAUGUUGUAAAAUGGCAUUUAUUAAUCAAAGCUUUACCAGCAAUUUGCUUAACAACUUUUAUUCUAUUUUACAACAGAAAAAGAAAAGGAAAAAAGAACCUAUAUAUAUUGUUUUUCACCUAUCACAAUCUGUAAAGAAAAUGACAUCCACAUUAAGAGGAGCCCAAUGAAAAGGUAGAUAACGAAUAAUGACCCGUAACGAUGAAGCAGCCAUUGGACCACACUUACAUAAUUGAGCAUCCUGUGGCAUUUUCUUCACUUAAGUAUUGGUCACAUCUGCUCACAUAAAAGCCCCUUCCAUAGACAUACGGCCCAGGCCCAUAGUUAUCGUAACAUGGGACCGGUCUUCCGUACCAUUCAUAACAUGGGCCCCCGAUAUGACCCUCGGAGCAUUGUCCACAACAAUAUCCCGGUGGUGCCGGAGGGACCGGUCUCCCGUACCAUUGAUAACAUGGGCCCCCGAUAUGACCCUCGUAGCAUUGUCCACAACAAUAUCCUCGUGGCGGCGGCGGUGGUGGUUGUGAUGGUGGAGCCACUGGAUUAGGUUUAGGACCUUCUUUGGUCUUUUCGGGCUCUUUGGGCUUGGGCUUUUCCGGUACUUUCUGUUUUUCGGGCUCCUUGGGCUUUUCAAUGAUAACAACAGUAGGCUUCUCAGGUUGUUUAGGCUUCUCAGGCUCCUUGGGCUUUUCAAUGAUGACAACCGUAGGCUUCUCAGGUUGUUUAGGCUUUUCGGGCUCUGGCUGUUUGGGCUUUUCAGGAGCUUUGGGCUUUGGAGGCUCUUUGAUUUCAAUGCUCUUAAUUACUCCACAUCCUUUACAACACAAUUUGUCACGAAAUCUCUCAGGAUCGCAGCAUACCACAGUGAUUGUCACUGUAUUAGCCUUCUNNNNNNNNNNNNNNNNNNNNNNNNNUAUACGUAUACUAUACAAUAUAAUAUAUAUAUAUAUAUAUAUAUAUAUAUAUAUAUAUAUAUAUAUAUAUAUAUAUAUUCCCCAUCAUAGUAUUCCAUGAUUGAUUUUGUCCAUCUACUUUGAAAUAGAAUUUCAAGAAAACAUAAAGAAAAAAAGCGGAUAACUAUAGUUUACUUAGAGAAUUCAAGUAAAAGAGACAUACGAGGGAAUUUACAGAGAACUUUUUUGACCUUCUUAUAGCAGCAGGAGCACUGAAGAUCAACCUUGAGCACCAUUAUAGUGGUCUGUUAAACGAUUAGUUAGUAUGAUGGGGUUAUUUGUCAAGUAAUUAAUUAAGCACAAUAUCACAGCUCUUACAGUUAUAAAAAAGAUUAAUUCACUGAACCAUAUUAUGCAAUAAUAAUGCAAUAAUAAGCUAGUUUAUUGUUGUUCAGAAAUCGUGAUGAAGAAGUAUAGAUCACUUUAGACGGAAAUAUAGAUAGAAGGAAAAAGAGUUGUGGAAGAUCAUACCUUUUCAGUUUUGUCACCACCCAUGAUUGAUCUGAACUUACAGAAAAUGGAAUUCUUUGUGCUGAGGAGGAAAACAGUAUAUUUUUCUCGUAUGAAAGGAAGAUGAGGAGAAAUGUCUUAUGAAGAAGAAAUGUAGUACUAGUAAGUAAUAAAAUAGUAGAAGGAAUAGAGUAGGAACACGUCAUGGAAGUUGAAAGAAAUGAUAUCAUCAAAAUUGGCAGCCACUAGAAUUUGGUGGGGGGACCUAAGAUUACUGACUAUAUACUCUCCAUUUGCAUAUGCUGGCUUUGAUAGUCACAUCUCACCUUCCCUUAGUUACCAAGCAAAUACUUAUUUAACAGGGAAUACAGAGUUAACUCGUACCACAUGGUAACUAUAUAUAUAGUUUGUCAACAAAAAAGUGGAUCAGAAAAUUUCUCCUCCAGAUUAUAGUCUAUAGAUGGAAAGAAGAAAAGAUAAUAAUAAGACUGAGUAAUCAAAUAAAUUUAGAUGGGAAAGAAGAAACUACAAAUAAAAAGUGUAAAUUAAUAAUCAUGGCGGCUGAACAAGGCAACUAAAUGGCUUGGCCCCCAACUUUUUGGGGUCCCCCUUUUAUUUUAAAAGUUGUAUGUUAUAUAUUAUUAAAAACAAAUCAUCCAUAUAGUGUUGGAAGGGAGAAAUUAAAUUUUAUUUUUAUUUUAUGCGGGGACAGUUGGUGUCUAAUUUCUUGACUAAUUAUAUUCAUGAAAGUCGAUGGAAAUAAUUAGGCAACCUUCGAGGGAGAGACAAGGAAACAAAAACAAAAGAGGAGAGGGACGAGCAAGGUGCGAGAUCCCGCCAUAGCCGUAACAAGUGAGGGACUCACUUACGAGCCACCCCCACAACAGGUUGGCCAUGGCGAAGAUUGUGAGGGUACCAUGUAACAUUGGUUCACAUUAUUAUUCUUAUAUUUUUGUCUUUUUUAUUGACUCUUUCAUUUAUUCUUACUCUCUCCUUAUUAACUAUUCCUAUAUUUUUUUUUUACAAAAUUUAUCGUUGUGUGCUCACAAAAGAUCAAAGUUUGCUUUUCGGUGUCCUCUUCAAAAUUCCAAGCAUUACAACAAGACAAAAACAAUCGUUAUUUUGAAGAAAUACAAUACUAUUUCGAUACCGUGAUAUCAACCUAUCAAAUUUUUUAACCAGAUUUUAUUAUUCUAAUUUUAUAUUAUAUUUUUUCAUUGAAAAUCUGUCAUUAUUGAUAUUCUUACUUCCUAAGUAUAUAUUCUUGUUUUAGUUAUUAUUAGAUUAUAUUCAAUUUAAAAUUUUCAACUAGAAAAUAUGAAUCCGGUUAUGCAAAAAGGGAAAAAAAUGUGAAGAAUUAAUUAAAUCCCAAAAGGGAGCCUUGGAUAGAUUUUUAACAAAUAAUAAAUAUCUUGAAUGAGAAAAUAUGGAAGGAUGUUCUUCAAAUGAACAAGUCACUCAUAGAGUUGAGUUAGAUGAAGUUACUACGAAAUUUGACAUAGUUCCAGAAAAUCAAGAAUUCUUAAAUGAUUUGAAUAACUGUAUCUCUAAAAAUAUAUACGAUCCAAGUCAACGGAAUAUGGUAGAUACAAAGUUGAGAGAUCUAUUAGCUAUAUUAUCAAUUGAAAUUGAAUUAUGAGAACAAAUCGAUUAUAAGAUAAUAAUUAAUGAUUUUGUAUCUAAACGCUGGAAAAAUAGUUUUAAAUUAAAUAUAUAUGACGUUUUUAAAAAAAAAAAAUUAAGGCAAUAAAGUUUGGUUUAAUGCUCCAAUCUUGUUGAGCGGUCAUGUUAAUGAUAGGACAUUUCUUCAUAUCUUUUAAAAGUGCUAGUGGUCGCAAAAUAAAUACUUUACCCCCUUCAACUUGUACAAGAAUCUCUUUUACACCAACAAUGUAGCAAAGUUUUGUUUCACUUUUUGUGCUUUAAUUUCUAAUCUGUAUUUCUCUGUCUUAUCUCUAAUACAUUUGAAAUUAAGUCACAGAACCAACGAGAACGAGGGAGAAUAAAUAUAGCCAAAUUGAUAUUGAUGAUGUAGAAAGUCAAAGGUAUAACAUCACAAUUCACAAGUUUUAACUAAAUAAUGUGCAAAUCCUUUUAGGUGAAAGUUUAGUGCCGACGGUGGGUAUGGAAGGCUGGCAGUGAUGGGCCUAACUUAGUCAAUUAUAACCCUUUAAUUACUUGGAAUUUUGGAAACUGAGGAAAAGGAAGUUCUCAGCCGGUCGGUGCCGGGUCGGCCCCUAAAUCAAAGAGAAAAAGUAGAACGGGAAAAUGAAUGAGAAAUGAUUAAUCUGCAUUUGGUAAUUUUCCAUUCCUUCUUUUCCUCUAGCAGCAUAAACUCUACCAAUCAGACAGGGAAACGUUGAAAAGCAAUAACUAUGUGCGAAGUAGAGGGGUCAUUUUUUAAAUACCGUCAAUAUUUGGGACAUUCGACUAAGGCUAGCCCCUUACGGGGCUAUUUUUUUCAAUCUCCACACUUUUGCAGGGGAUCUUUACACAAAGGGUGAAUUUAAAAAAAUAGUCAUAUUUACAAGUGAUAAUUGAAAAAAAGCUAUAGUUUCAAAAGUAAUCGAAUUUUAGCCAAUUUUCAAGUAAAGAUAAAUCUGAAUGAAAACACUGUUCAGAAUCCGAAAAAUAUUUCAGCAUAAUAUGCUGGAAGUUCAUACACAGGUGCUCCAAACUCCAGUAUAUUAUGCUGGAACUUUCCGUGUGUUGGGAGUUCCAGCAUAAUAUGUUGGAAGUUCAUACACAGGUGCACCAAAUCUCAAAUAUAUUAUGCUGGAAUUUUCCGUGUUGCAGCAAAAUAGUGACUAGUUUUUCAAUUACUUUGCAAACAUUGGCUAUUUUUUAAUUACCAGUCCGAAAACUGGCUAGGUCGUGCUACUUUUACUUACACAAAUAGUCGUCCAUAUUUAAUGUUUACUUUUUUUGUCAUAUACAUAGUUUAUACAUUGAUUAUAUAUUAUUAUAUACAUAUAAUACAUAAAUUAUGCAUAUAUUAUACCUCUCUCGACUAUUUUUAGUUUAAGUGGUUGGGUUUAAUUAUUCCUUUCGCAGCAGCCAUGUGACUUGUGAGUAAAGCCCAUGACAUCCAGAUACGGUACCGCAUUGCCCAUAAUAGUGGAGAGACCCAAUACAGAGAAAGAUCAUCUGGUUUCUUGUAUUAGCAGAAAUCUUUUUGAACUAUAUUUGAAAUUACAUUCUCCUUUAGUUAUUAAAGUGCUUUGUUUAGUUUUGGUUUUUUUCUUUUCUGUAGAAAUAAUACUGAUAUGAGUUAUAUCACAAACAUCCCGUUACGUCUUCUUUUAUCAACUCUCAGUUUGUUCUUAAUGAUGCUUACAAUAUUGAUUUUGAAAUUAUAAGUAUCAUUUCAAUUCACUAUGUUUAUUUAUUACUAUUAAAUUUCUCUCUGCCUCUCUCUAUAUAUACACAUAUAAUGGCAAUAACUUUUAUCCAAUUUUAAGCAAAACACGUAUUUUUGUAUUGUAUAUCUAUUUUUAUUAUUAUUAAUGUAUAAACCAAUUAUAAUAUAACAUUUACAUAUCUCAAGUAUGAUACAAUAACCUACAAAGUAGAUUAUAUUAAUGGCAUAUUAUAGCCGGUUAAAUUACAUUCUUCAAUAGUAUGUAUAAUUUAAACCUAUCGCUAUAUGGUAUUAUAUGGAUUUUCAGUUCAUGGUAUGACUUACCUAAACUAAACUAAACCCGCAAAAGAAGCGAGAGCCAACAAGAAGCACUACUAAAAAAACAGUUGUUUACCGACGCAGCAGUAUCGAUAGACUUUUUUUCGACGUUAUUCCGAAGGAUUUUCCGACGGAGUCCCUCGGUACUUUUGAACUUUUUAAUUUCUAUUUUUUUAAAAAUAUAACCGACGGACAACUUUCGGUGUCUGUCGGUGCUUUUAAAAAAAAAUGAAAAAGAAAAUAAAGUUAUCGACGUACUCAAUCCUACUGCAUUUACAUAAUAUUUUGAAUUUUGUUCUUACAGUACCGAUGAACUUCCGUCGGUAACUUAAAUAUAUAAUCUUAUAGAUAAUUAUUUUGUAUUUUUUAUUACACAAUACCAAGGGAGGCCGUCGGUAAGUCCCUCAGUAAGUAUUUACUUAAUUAUCUUAGUGGUUGAUUAGCCUAUUUAUUAAAAUUUGCACUAAGUGAAGGUAAUACACUACUUAAAAUAUAUUGGUGGUAAUUAGCUUAGUAAUUUAUAAUUACACAAAGUAAAAGUGAUUUUGUAGUAUCCUUAACUACAUUGAUUAACCUAUACAUUAAUAAUUAAACACUAAGAAGAAGUGUAUUAGUCAUUUCCGUAAGAAAUAUUAGUGAUAGUUUAUCUUAUAAAUUGAUAAUUACUGUAAGUAGAAGUGUAUUAAUGGUGUCCUUAAGUAACGUUAACAAUUGAUUAUCAUACACAUUGAUAAUAUACUAUGCAAAAGUGUAUUAAUUGUAUUUAGCUUGUAUAUUGAUAAUUACACGAAGUAUAAGUGUAUUAAUAAUAUAUAUGUAAGUAAUGUUGCUGAUUGAUUAGCCUAUAUACAUUGAUAAUAACACUAAGUAUUAGUGAACUAGUGGCAUCCUUAUAUAAGUAACGCUAGUGAUUGAUUAGCCGAUACAUCGAUAAUUAUAUUGUCAUGAUCUAAAAUUCAACUAGUCGUGAUGACACCUAACCCAACCCGUUAGGUAAGCCAACUAAUCACUAUCCAAUUCCAACGUAAUUUAGCAAGACAAUUAUUAAAGAAAAUAUAUGAAACUAUUACAUUUCCCCAAGAAUGGGUAGUACAAAUCAUGAGCUUCUAAUAAUAGAGUAUACAAAGCUGGUAUGAAAUAAUACAUCAUCUAUUUGAAAAGUACAUAAACAGAGUUUGCAUGAAUCAGGCUACCAUGAAUAAGAGACAGCAACAACCGGAACGCAGGUACAACUUCAAAUCCGGUAACCAUCGAACACAACAACAACGACAACCAAUAUCUGCACGCAAUGUGCAGAAGUGUAGUAUCAGUACAACCGACCCCAUGUACUGAAUAAGUAACAAACGUAGCCUUAGGUUGAAAGUAGUGACGAGCUUGUACCAAGGUCAGAGUCCAACUUUCAUAACCAACAAUAGUUCAUAACAAUAUAAAAUAAGUAAUACCAGAAGUAACUCAAAGAAUAAAUGCUCAACUAAAUCGUGACUUCUAAAAAUAGUUCUGCCUUUCAAGUACAUCAGUGAAAACCCAAAUCGUUUACCGAAAUUAUAAAAAAUAUGAAUAAGUUUGAAUCGUUUACCGAAAUUAUCAAAAAUAUAAAUAAGUUUGAAAAUAGUAAUUUUUCCAAAAUCCUUUCAAUAAUAAAUAAAAUGUCUCAUUUUCUUUCGAGAUAACCAAUAUAAAACAAAUGUAUCACUAUGCCUAUCUGUCAAUAUUUGUGAGAAAUCAUGAAUAAUGUUAUAUCGUAGCAUGAGGAAAAUACAUCUCUAUGCAUGUAUGUCAUGUGUGCACGUCAAUGCAAUGUAUCUCAGAAAUUGUACUCAUGUAUUCACACUCUUAGAGUACUCAAUCUCACUGUCUCACAUUCUCUCUCACUAUGUUUAGUACACUCAAUCACUCAGCGCUAUAUAAUACAUGUUGUUGCGUACAACCUGAUCCCUGUUUAUAGUCGACUGUGCUCACUGGGGGUGUGUACAUACUCAUGAGGGGCUCCUACAACCCAAGCGCUAUAAGCACGGCCAACUCACGUGCUGCACGACCAACUCACGUGAUGCACGACCAACUCACGUGUUGCACGACCAACACACGUGCAAUAGUAUAAUAUAUGGAUCCGCACAGCCAACUCACGUACAAUAAUAUAAUAUAUAUAAAGCCAAUAUGAUGUGUUGUGGCGUGCAAGCCGAUCCCAGAAAAAAAUAUCUUCACAAUCAGGCCCCCGGCCUCCCUCAGUCAUCAAUCUCUCCGGUCUCUCUGUCAUAGGCACACAAUGUCAUGAGAAUAGCCCAAAAUGAUGAUAUGAUAUAUCAAUAAAUAACAAUAGAGACUGAGAUAUGAUAUGUAAUGAAAUGAAUAUGACUGAGUAUGAAUUUUCAAUUUAAAAUAAAUAAUUCAUAAUAAUAUGACCUAUGUGGUCCCAAUAAUACUGGCACAUAGCCUCAACAUGAUUUUCAAUAUGCUUUUCAGCUCAAUUUCUUUAACUCAUAAAACCGGAUGGAAAAUGCCAAGAUCAUUUAACUACAAAAUUUUACUGAAAUAAUUAUGUCACAAUUUCUAUAGUGCACGCUCACACACAUGUCACCUAGCAUGUGCGUCACCUCCCAGCAAUUCACGAAAUACAUAUAUUCAAGGUUCAUACCCUCAACUCCAAAAUUAGAAGAGUUACUUACUUCGAACAAGCCAAAUCCAAUGUCGAGCAAGCUAAGCAAUGCUCCAACAAUUCCACACUGUGCGUAUCAACUUUCAAACGGUUCGAAUCUAGUCACAAUUAAUUUGAUUCAGCCCACAAAAUUUAUAGGAUUAAUUCCAUAUCAAAAUACUAAUAUUUUCACAAAAUUCGAAAUUAUUCGCCAAAAAUUACUCGUGGGGACCACGUCUCGAAAUCCGACAAAACUCACAAAAUCCGACAACUCAUCCAAUUAUGAGUUCAACCAUACUAAUUUCACUCAAAUCCGACUCUGAAUCGGUGUUCAAAUCUCGAAAAUUCAUUUUAUAAAGUUUCUACAAUUUUUCUCAAAUUUCCACCUCAAAGUACUAAUCAGAUGAUGAAAUCAUUGAUAUAUUCAUGUAUAUUAACCAAAUUCGAGUUAGAAUCACUUACUACGAUGAAUUUCUUGACAAAACGAACGAAAAAAUACCACAAACCGAGCUCCCUAGAUCCAAAGUGUGAAAUAAUACCCUAAACCUUAGAUAUAUAGUACAUACUCUGAACUCCAAAUUCGCGGUCAGCGAAAUUCUAAGUGCGGCCGAGCCCCAUGUCCCGCGGUCGCGAAAAUAAUGGUGCGGCAGCGAAAUUCCUGGGGUUGCACUGCCAGGCUUUAGUAUUUUGGACAUAACGUUCUCUACAAAUGUACAAAUUAUGACUUAUUUAUCUUUUUUGGAAAUUAGACACGAAGGGCUACAUCUUUCGUUUUUGCAUCAUCUCAAAAUUCCUUAUAGAUCACAAGAUAUAGGCUUCUGAAGUUGUACCAACGAAUCUGCAGAACUUCCUGGAGCGCGGCCUCAGACAGAAUUAUGCGGUCCGCGAAUAUUUGAGCGCGGCCGCGAAAUUCUGCUGCUGUCCGCGUCCCUCCUUCGCCUCAGCGCCCAAAAAUGUGCGAUUCGCGUCCCCAAAAGUGCCAAAACAAUAUUAGAGUGCCGAAAUAUUCGGACUCGCUCAAAACUUAUCCCGAAACUCAUCCGGAACCUCCCAUAUACAAACCAUAUAUGAAUUUCAAUCAUAAAACAUGCUACGGACCUAUUUGCGCACUCAAAACACUGAAAAGAGGUCGCCUUGACCCGAUAUUGACCAUGACCAAACUCACUAAUUUCUUAACUUUAUUAAUCUCUCAACCAAUGAUCCAAAAAUACACUCAAGUCCCUCGGGAGCUCAACCAAAUAUACCAAUACAUUCCAUAACAUAACACGGAAUUACUCGAGGCCUCAAACCAUAUCAAAUAACAUCAAAACGACGAAUCGCACCUCAAAUCAAAAUCUAUGGACUUUGAACUUUCAAAUUCUAUAUCAUGUGCCGAAAUAUAUCAAAUCAAUCCGGAAUGACUUCAAAUUUUGCACACAAGUCAUAAAUGACAUAAUGAAACUAUUCAAUUUUACAGAAUCAUAUUUCGACCUCGAUAUCAAAAAGUCAACCCCCGGUCAAACUUCCCAAAAUUUAACUUUCGGCAUUUCAAGCUUAAUUCCACUACGGACUUCCAAAUAAUUUUUCUUACACGCUCCUAAGUUCAAAUCACCAUACGGAGCUAUUGCAACCAUCAGAAUUAAAUUUUGAGGUCUUUAACACAUAAGUCAAUAUCCGGUAAAUUAUUUCAACUUAAACUUUCAACCUAAAAAUUUAUUUUUCCAAGCUAACUCUGAAAUACCUUUAAACCAAAACCAAAAAUUCAUACAAGUGAUAAUACCUCGUAGGAAAUUAUUUAAGACUUCAAAUAGUUGAAAGGAGCGUAAAUGUUCAAAACGACCGGUCGGGUCGUUACAUAUACACUAAAUGGAAGUGUAUUAAUGCUAUUUGUGAGAAAUGUUUGUGAUUAUUUAAGUAAUAUUAGUGGUAUCCUGAAGUAACGCUAGUGAUUCAUUAGCCUAUACAUUGAUAAUUAUACUAAUUAAGUAGAAGUGUAUUAGUAUUGUCUUAAAAACUAUUACUGAUUGAUUAGCUUAUGCAUUAAGAAUUACACUAAGUAUAAGUGUAUUAGUAAUAUCAGUAAGAAAUAUUAGCGAUUGAUUAGCUUAUAAAUUAAUAAUUACAUAAAGUAGAUGCAUAUUAGUGGUAUGCUUAAGUAAUAUUAAUAAUUGAUUAGCCUAUCUAUUAGUAAUUAUACUGAUUAAGUAAAAGUUUAUCACUAAUAGUCUUAAGAACUAUUACUAAUUGAUUAGUUUAUACACUGAGAAUUACACUAAGCAGAAGUGUAUUUGCAAUAUCAGUAAGAAAUAUUAGCGAUUAAUUAGCUUAUAAAUUGAUAAUUAUAAAAAGUAGAUAUGUAUUAGUGAUAUCCUUAAGUAAUAUUAGUGAUUGAUUAGCUCAUAUAUUAAUAAUUAUACUAAUUAAGUAGAAGUAUAUUAAUAGUAUUCUUAAGAAUUAUUAUUGAUUGAUUAGCUUAUACAUUGAGAAUUACUCUAAGUAGGAAUGUAUUAGUAAUACAGGUAAGAAAAUUUAGUGAUAGAUUAGCCUAUACAUUGAAAAUUCUACUAAGUAGAAGUGUAUUAGCAGUAUUCUUAAGAAAUAUUACCCAUUGAUUAGUUUAUAAAAUGAUAACUACACUAAGUAGAAGUGUAUUAGUGAUAUCCUUAAGUAAUAUUAGUGAUUGAUUAGACAAUUACUUGAUACUUAACUACGUAAAAGUGGUUUAGUAGAAAUUAGCUUGUAAAUUAAUAAUUACAUUAGCUUAUGAUUUAUUUUAAAUUAUUAAUAGUAAUUUUAUUGUUAAUUAAUGCUAAAAGAUGAAUUACACUUUAUCAGGAUUAUUUAUAUUUCAUGGUCAAUUUCGUUGUUAAUUAAUGCUAAAAGAUGAAUUUCUUAAUAUAUGUUAAAACAUCUAAAAACUCAAUUAAAGUGGACGGGAAGGAAUAAUAAAAUAAUUGAUCACAUCUUGCUAAUUACUACAUUUGCUUGAAAAUAUUACAACUAUGGGCAUAAUAUUUUCAGAAACUUUAAUAUUACACAUAAAUUCCACUACACAGAAUUAAAGUAUUUGAUAAUUAAGAUAAUUGAGUGGUUUACCUCUUUCCUAACUGCGCCGUUUCAGCCUCUAACCUCACCUUCAUUACACUCUUUCUUGCCCCUAAAUUUCACAACACGUUUUCCUCUUUUUGCCGUUCUUCUUCUUUUACUGGGAGCUUGUCUUUGUUUAUAGUCUUUGUUCUUCUACUGGGAGCUUGUCGGAGUCAGAACCUCCGUUCAAGUCGGUGGUUUGGGAUGUAUUGAGGUGGUUAUCAGUUGUAGACGAAGGAGACUCGCGGCUGCGAAAGCGGUGGUUGGUGUUAGUGUGGCUUUUUUGUCCCCAUUUCAAUUGGGUAAAGAGAAAUAAUGCAGUGGACGUGACUUGACCGAUGCCGUUGCCAUUAUAAGAAUUGGGCAAAGAGCAAAACCCUACUAAGACCUUCAUGCAACUUUAUCUCGGUGAGUUUUUUUCUCUCCCAUUAUGAUUGAACGUGGUUGGAGGCGUGUACAAGGGUAGAGCAUACGACCUUUCCUUCGAGCACAAUUUUUAUCGCCUCGCGUGUGGACUGCAACGUAUAUACUUUCGCUUAGUGCGGAGAUUUGUCAGAUGUGGUUCUUGUAUGUUUGAAAAUUUUGAUUAUUCUUACUUAGUGAUAAUAAAAGGUAAUUUUUUAGUACUAGAAUCUUGACUGCAAUAAUAAUUUGUGUAUAACUAGCUUGAGUUUUUUAGAGUUUCUGCUUCUAUGUAUUAUCAUACACUAGGCUCUUGCAAAAUGUGGAUACUUGACCUUUCAAUAUUGAUAAUGUUUGCUGAUUUUCUUUCUGAAAUGGUAAUGGUUAUUUUUAUUUAUUAUGUAGAUAUCGCAGCAAAGGUACUUUCUUUAAUUCAGCAUAGUACAAAAUUUUGUGAUUUGUGGCAAAAACUGACUUGUAAGUAAAAACAAUGGGGACCUUUAGCUCUCAGAUUGAAGCUGAAGAUUAUCUUUGGUUUGCCAUUUGGUAAAUCCAUGCUAAUCUCAUCUCACGAUGAGAAAUAACUUUACGACUUCAUUAAUAGGAGGAAAAUGUGUCAUAAAUCACUUAUAGCAUCUAGGUAGACAUGUUGCAGGAUUAUCAGAUACAAUCAUUCAACUCUACUAUGUCAAAUUGUAACAGGUUGAAGAAAUUAUCAUGCACUUUUAAAAUUGUUCCUGAUGCAUAUGCACCUUCUAAAGAUAGAUAAUUGAUUUCAUUAUUGUUUCCCCCAACAGAAAGCAAUUUUUUGAACUGUCUCCUAUUUAUGAUGGUAAUGCCAGCUGUUUCUAAUUGGGAUACUUAUUUAAUCAUCUGCUAUUCGAAGACUCUGUUUGAUAGUGCAUUCUAUUAAUUUCAAUUAUCAGAAUGUUUAUAAGGAUGAAAGAAGUUAACUUUUUUCAAGUAUGGGAGGUGUAAGACAAGUGAGUCUGUUAGCUUAGAUAUCUUUAUGGUGAGUGAGGGUGAUUCAGGUGUUUAUAACUAGAGGUAUUUAUAGAGAAUGGCACGUGGAUAGUGAAUUGUGGUGGGACUGGUUAACUGUCCUUGUUAUAUUUUAGCAUAAAUUCAAUUUCUGUAUUUGGCUUUGUUGUAGCUUAUAUUGAUUUAAAACAUUUAUCCAAAGAAAAAAAAUUAUUUAUUAUGACUCAUAGAGGGAAGAGACAAAAGGAGUAGGCUUUUUUCUGAAAAGGGAGUAGAGCUCUAACAAAAUGAGUUUGUUAGUACUAUUUCUGAGCCUUUUUAGAAGAUUGAAUUCUAAGGACCCGUUUGGACAUAGAUUUUGCCAAAAUAAACUUGAGUUUUAUUUGGCAAACACAUAUUUGGCCAUAACUUUUGCCUAUAUUUUGACAAAAUUUCAUAUCCCAAAACCUGCUCAAUAGCUGGUUUUGGGCCAAAUCCCUAAUAAUACACAUAUUUUUUCAAAAUAAAUUUGGGAAAUAUAUUUUGAAAACGUAUGUCCAAACACAUUUUCAUCUUCAAGCCAAACUUCACCCAAAACAAUUUUUUCAAAACAAAUUUAAGAAUCUAUGACCAAACGCUAGCUAACACUUUAUUUUGAUGGUAGUUGGUAGGACAAAAAUAUUUUGCCCCAUACUUUCUUGAUUCCUAUCUACCAUAGUCGACUUAAAAAACCAAACCCCUAAUCAUUUCCUUUUUCUGUUCAUGUUUGUUUUGUCUUUAGCUCCAAUUCACUAUCCAUUUUGAAAUAACCCUAAUGAACAUUUAGUGGUGAAAUCAAACAUUGAUCUUGUCUAUGCCAAACAAUAGUGAUAUCAUCAAUGAUUCAAUGGGUGCAGAAUUAUUCUAUUCUAACUCUUCGUGUAUAUUUUUCACUUUUCUUUUGUGAAUUACAAGGUAUUGGGACAUCCGCCACCGUACAAAAUGAGGACCUUAAGGAGAUGCGGCGAAUGAUUCAACAACUUUCUAGAAACUAUGCAGGUGAACGAGAAAAAAAAAAGCAUGAAGAGAAGAUUAGAGACGCACUUAGGAAUGACAUCGACUCCCUUAAGGCUCAAGUGAACCACUUAAUCGGCCUGCUCCAUUCUCCGCCAAAAAAGCCACAUUUAUGAAGAGGAUGAAAGUGAUGGAAAUAAUAUAAAUGAUGAAGAAGAUGAGAGGGAAUCCGAAGAAUGAGUGAUUUUAUGUUUGGUUGGAUUGUUGUUUAGUUGGAUGUUAAUUUUGAAUGUUACAUUUUGAAGUUUGGUCGGAUAGUUUUGAUGUUUGAUGGGAUAAUUUGGAUGUUUGGAUAAUUUAUAAAGUUUUGUUGUUGUUAAGUUGAGUUUCAUUGUGGUUGCAUUUCUGUUUCUAUUGUAAAAUUCUGGCUGGCAGGUGGUGCAACAAAAAAUAGGCACUCCCUGCCAAAAAUAUACCAGAUUUACCGAGGGACUUACCGACCGAGUUCGAUGGAACACUUAUUCAUUUUCAAUCCAUAAUUCUUAAUUAGCGAGGGAGUCCGUCAGUAGACGUGAACCAAAUUUUCAAAUUUUGUUGAACAUACCGACGGAUAUCCAUCGGAAUAUGAAUUUAUUCAUAUUUUUAAUUUUUGAAUUACUAAAUUAAAAUUCUAAAUUUACCGAUGGUAUCCGUCGGUAAUAUUAAAUUAUUAUUUUUAAUUUACCGACAGAUAUCCGUCGGUAUUGAUAUUAUUAAUAUUAUAUUAUUUUAUAAUAUAUCGCCGGAUAUCCGUCGGUAAGUAAAAUUAUUUGACCAACUAUUGUCAGAAAUGUACCGAUGACUUAACGAUGGGAUCCAUUGGUAUUUAUCGAUAGAUUCUGUCGGUUUAUUUGACCGAGGAAGGUUUUACCUACCUACCACUUACCGACGGACUUCCUUCGAUACAAUCUUGUUACCGAGAGACGUCCGUCGGUGAUUUGCGUCGGUAAAUAAGUAAUUUUUAGUAGUGAAGUAAAAGGAUAAUAAAAGGAGUCUCAUGUACGUACAACCGAACCUAAUGAGAUUUAUAUGCUGAAAUCUCUUAAGCAUAGAAGUGUAUAAUAUAUAGUAGAGAGUUUUUUCCUAUACAAAUGCUUUCCCUGCUAUUUAUAGAGAGGAGUAUAUAUAAUUGACUUCAACUUGAAUUUUGUAUCAUUUAACAUGUUUAAAUAUUUAGGUAUAUACGUAGUACACCCAUCGUUCUGUCUCAAUUAAAUUAUGUUAUGAAAUUUGAUGUGACAUAUGUUUAAAUGAUCAUUCCAACUCUAUUGAGAUGAGGCAAUUCAUCUCUUUACUGUCGAUUCUCUCAUUUUGUAGCAAAAGAAAAACCAAAAGGAAUUAGAGGAACACUAUAGUCCAUAAGUGUGAGUAAUGUAAUGAUAGUGGAGGCGUCAACUUGUAAACAAGAAGACAGAUUCAUAAAUCAAUCAUCUUCAAAAACUCUUUUCAUUAUAACAAAGACCAGUUAUGACGAGGAGAUAACAUUUUAUCACCACACAUGUCACUUCAUAAAUGGCCAUUGGGCUGACUCAAAUGGAACCUUUUGACUACUAAGAUAUGUUUUUGGACUUAUGUCAAAUGGAUUCAAAACAUAAUAUAUAGAAGUAAAAAUAUAUUUUGCCUUAUAUAUGCAUUGUAAUUUUUUGGCGAAAGAGGUUUAAAAUAAAUAAAAAAGUUUAUAUUAUACAAAUAGCGUAAAAAUAAUUUUUUUGAUUUUUCAUAAGAAAAAGUCUAGUAAAAUGACAACGAAUCCAAAAAUAACCGUCAUAGGAUCAAAUCUUAUACAUGUGAUCUUUAUUAUUUUUUAAAAAUCGUUUGUAUAAAGUUCUAACUUCGCCAUUAUUAGACUUAUAGUGGAUCAUUGCGAAUGAAACACAAGAAAUGUUUAUAGGAUUAAUAUUCAUUUCCUCAUGUUUCCAUGUCCAUUCACCCUUCUCUAGCUUUGAAGAUCCUCCUCUAAUUAAUUGAUAUGUACAACCCAAUAUUGUGCUAGGAUUUUCAGUUUCCCCGUUUUCAACUUUCUUUUUCUUUUUCUCUUCUAUUCUUUUCAGUUAUUAAUUCUCAUAUAUAGGGAAUUGGAAGAGGGGACCUUUGGAAAAUGCAUUGGCUCCAUUCACCUAAUAAUUCAGAGAUUUUAUAUAUCUUUCUAUACAUACAAAAAGUAAUCUUCCUUUUGACAUAUCUGAAGUGUACGAAUUUUCUUGGCCGUUUUGGGUUCUCUCAAUAUUCUUUUGCAAUUAUUAUGGUAUAACCUGCACUUUGGAAUUGGCUGUUUGGAUAUUAUAGGAAUUGAAGAACAAAAUAUCAAAGACAAAUAUUUCAAGACUUUAAAUUAUUGAAGACAAAUUGUUAAUGCAUCCACUAUUUGUUUUGACAAUUGUUGUAAGUUAAUUAAUAUAUGUAUUCUUAAAAAGAAUUUAGCCACCAAACAAUACCUUUAAUUUAGGAGACAUGUAAAAAUUCUAAAGUUCAUUAACAAUUUCUUAUCAGCUCGCUCUAUCAGAAAAUUGCUUAUUUUUUAUUUUACAAUUAUUAGUUUUCCUAAAACAAAAAGACUCUACACAUUCUCCCAACGGCCUUUUGUAUUAUAUAACUCUCCAAAUCCACAAAUAUGGUUUUGCUUAUUUAAAAUCUUUAGUUCUUCAAUUUAAAUGGUCAUAUAUGUCAAAUAAAUUACAACUUUAAUUUUUAGAUGGAGUCAUGGAGAGAGUUCAAUAAUUAAAAUUUUCCUUUUUAUAUCAAUAAUUAAAAUUUUCCUUUUUAUAUCAAUAAUUAAAAUUUUCCUUUUAAAUUACAACUUUAAUUUUUAGAUGGAGUCAUGGAGAGAGUUCAAUAAUUAAAAUUUUCCUUUUUAUAUCCAUUCAAAACAAAGAUCAGAUAGGGGAAAAAACAAGUAAAUUAAAACAGUGACUAUAAUAAAAUGGGAGAUAAAAGGAAGAGGUUUUAGCCAAAAUUGUCCCUUAUGUUUGGGGUAAGUUUAACUUUGUCUUUUAUCUAUUGUCCUGAGCACUUAUUGUCUUUAAAGUUUGCUAAACUUGAGCAGUUUUAGUCCACUUAAGAGUUUUUAGACAAAAUUGUCCCUUACAUUUGGAGGUAAGUCUAAUUUUGUCCUUUAUCUAUUGCCCUGAGCACUUAUUGUCCUUCAAGUUUGCUAAACUUGAGCAGAUUUAGUCCACUUAAUAAAAGAUCCAAACUGGUGGGUAAAAAAACUUUCAGUACUCAAGUUUUGCAGAACCGAUGUAAAGAACCUAAACCUGUUUAACGGGCCAGGUUGACCCGGUUCCUGACCGGUCUAGACCGGUAGUAAAUCAGACUGGCCUGGACUGGUGAAGGGGGCCGGGUAGGGCUGGAUUUGGGGUUUAGUCCGUAUAUUUUUUUUACUGGUUAACCGGACCGGUCAAUAAAAAUUAUUGUUGAACCGGUUAACCGCCCCGACCCGGUUGAGAAAAAUAGUGACCGAUCGUCACUAAUCCUGGUCGGUUGCCAAGUUUUUAAAAUCGAGCUUAACUAGUCUGGGCUCAUCCGAUGAAAAAUUGAACUGGAACGGUUCCGAGCCUAAGGGCCCCGACCCGACCCACCCCUUUAUCACCUUUAAGAUUGUAGAAACAAGUGUGAUAAUUUUUUUAAAAAUAAUUAAGAAAAUAGUCGUUGAACCGGGUCGGUCCGGUCUAGUUAACCGGUUCAAAAGUAACUUUCAUUGACCAGGUUUGACCGAUCCGGUUAACCGGUAAAACAGUAUAUACGGACCAAUCCCCUAAUCCCCCAAACCCAACCCUACCCGGCUCCCUUUCACCGGGCCGGUCCGAAACCGGGUCAACCUGACCCGUUAAAUAGGUUUAGGUUCACUAUAUCGGUUCUGCAAAAUUUGAGCAUCAAAAGUUUCUUUACCUAGUUGACUCAGUGAAAUCACUGUUAGUUUUUUGAUCUCCCUUUGGGUCUUUUGUUAGUGGACUAAACCUGCUCAAGUUUAACAAACUUAAAGGACAAUAAGUGCUCAGGGUAAUAGAUAAAGGAUAAAGUUAGAUUUACCCCAAAAAUAAGGGACAAUUUUGACUAAAAACUAAUAAAAGUAAACAGUAACGUAAAUGACCGAUAGUAGACAACUUGGACAAAUAAUAGAUGCUGACUCAGCAAAUGGACCACUAAUGCAAUUUCAAAAAUUCCAGGUCAGAUUUGCAAUGUCACCAUUCAUUGGGCCUCUGUCCACCUCUACUUAAAUGUGCUUUCUUCUCAUUUUGCCCAACCAAAAGCAGUAAAACAACAAUAGAGACUAAAAUAGAGAGGUUUUUCAUUUGCAGAGUUUCAAAUUCAUUGAAAAUCAGCAUUGUUUAAAGAGCUGCAUUAAUAUGGGUGAGGUAAUUAAGUUUAACCUCUUUAUAUUAACACUAUUUAUAUUUAUAACAUUAUAUAUCAAUGUAGGUACUCUAGCUAUGUUUUUGUUUCUUAUUUUCUUUGAACAUAUAGGAGAAGAAAGUGGAAGAAAACAAGGAGAAAGAGAAGAAGGAAGAAGAGAUAGUGCUAAAGGUUGAUAUGCAUUGUGAAGCUUGUGCUAGAAAAGUUGCUAGAUCCUUGAAAAGAUUCCAAGGUCUCUUUAUCCUCUAAUUCCAUUGCAUUCUUUUGGUUUUCAAUUUUUUGGCUAUUUGCUUAAAUGCAUUGCAAAAUCUUUCAAAUCCCAUUUGUUCUUUUUAUUGGUUCUAGGAGAUUUUUUUCCUUUCUAAAACAAGUCAUUAAUUUAAUAAUCUUCAUUUAAUUAUUCUAUCUCCCAUUAUCCUUUGCACGUUUUUAAAUUCAAGAAUUCAUUAACUCCCAAGCUUAACAUUUAAUACCAUGAAUGAAGAGUAUACUCCAACAAAGACAUUAACUUUAUUUUAUAUAUGAAUUUUGAUAUAAAAUGGUCAUUUAUUGUGGAUCGGACUGAGUAAUAUAUAUACAAGUAUGGUUUAGGACUUGAUAUGAUUUUAUGAGUUUAUAUACGAAACUUAAACUCGAUUUUUGAUGGUGAAAUUGGAACUAUAGGAGUAGAGGAAGUAAUGGCGGAUUACAAGGCCAGUAAGGUGGUGGUAAAAGGCAAAAAUGCAGACCCUCUUAAAGUGUGUGAAAGGGUCCAAAACAAAAGUGGCCGAAAAGUUGAACUCAUUUCACCUUUACCUAAGCCACCCGAAGAAGAAAUUAAGGAGGAAAUUAUAAAGAAAGAAGAGAAAAAAGAUGAGGUAAUUUACUUGCUACUAAUUCAUUAUUAUUUCUAUAUAUACUUGUGGAUAAUCAUCUCUGUCUCAUUAUUUGUUACUUGAACAGUGCUUUAGUUCUAUUUCUAAGUUUUGAACUCAUAAACUUUAAAUUAUACUUUUAAGUCUUGUUUGGAAAUUCAAUAUUCUGGACUACGUAGCCACUGGGCACAUUUAAUUAUAUGAAGCUUAGAUGGGACCCGGGGAGAAGUUUGACCCACAGUUGGGUUUGCAAUAUAUAGCCAGAGGUCAAGGGUCAGUCAAGGUUUUGCUGCUGCAUGACCUCUUAAUUAGGCUAAAGGAACUGAAACUGGCCAGCUCUGCCAGCCAGCAAACAAUACCCGCAUCGGAGCCCAACCAAAUCUGUAUUCGUGUCGAAAAAUUCCGCCUUGAGAUAAAUCGCUCUUUAACAACAGUGGUUCCCCACUAAGGACUCGAACUCAAGACAUCUGAUAAAGGGUGAAGGAGUACUACUUACCACUUAACCGCAACCUUAAUUUGUUGGUGAUAUGAGCACAUCUUAUAAUGAGAUGGGACCUAGGAGAAUUCACGGGAUUAACAUUCAAUAUUUGAAAUGUUUAGGGUGUUGGCUAUAUAUAUACAGAGUUUAGGAAUAGUAACAAUCACAAGACAAAUUAAAGCUUGGCUUUAUCUUGAAAAUAUUAAUGUGAAGAAAGAAAGCCUGGUUGGCGAAUGACUUAAAUUAAUAUCAUAUGAGCAACCACUUAUAAUUAGCAGGACCAAUUACCCCUGUAAUUAUUUGCGACAUGCAAAUUAUAGUUGGCUUUCCUUACCAUGAUUUGGGACAUGAAAUUAGUAUUGGAAAUGCUUUUUUGGUUGUUGAGUUACUGAUUUGGACCUAAAUCUUUACACAAAAGGAUGCCAUCAGUGUAUUAAUGAAUAUUAUAUAAUUAAUCAUUUAGUUUGUAUGUACAUUCUCUUGAAUAUACUCAGAGCUAGCUAAACGGCUGUAGUGUUACAAAAAUGAAUAAGGAUUGUCCAAAACUAUUUAAGGAGACCAAGUUACCAUAUACAAUCCGAUGUAGGACAAUUCAAUAACUAUAUGCCAAACUGAGAAACUUAAGCCGUGAAUUUAUUUUGUGUCUUGUUUCACUUGACACAAAAUAAAUUCACGGCUUAAGUUUCUUGUUUCACUUUGCCAAUCGAAGGGAACCUUGGAGCAACGGUAAAUUUGUCUCUUUGUGACCUAUAAAUCUUAGGUUCAAGCCAUGGAAUCAGUCGCUGAUGCUUGCAUCUAGGCUACCUACAUCACAUCCACUUUGGGUGCGGUCCAUCCCCGGACCCUUCGUGAUCACAUAAUAUUUUGUGCACCGAGGUGCCUUUUUUUUCACUUUGCCAAUCAUUUUUUUUAAAAAAAUUCCUUGAUUAAUUAAAUUAAUAUGGAAGUGUGAAAAAUGUUUUUUUUUUCCUGGCAGCCUCCUCCGGUAAUAACGGUUGUCUUGAACGUUCAAAUGCAUUGUGAUGCUUGUGCUCAAGCUUUGCAGAAACGGAUCCGCAAAAUUAAAGGUAUAUAUAUAUCUUACUGUUUUCACAUGUUACCUUAGUAAUCCAAAAUGGUUCAGGAGUUGGUUUUAUAACCUAGGCUACAGUAUCAAGUUAAUUGCUAUUUUGAAAAUGCAAUGCAGGAGUAGAAUCUGUUACGACAGACCUUGUAAAAAAUCAAGUAGUAGUAAAAGGUGUCAUCGACUCAGAGAAGAUAGCUAAUGAUGUUUAUAAGAGAACUGGAAAACAAGUUUCAGUUAUAAAGAAUGAAGAGAAAAAGGAAGAAACUGAGAAGAAAGAAGAAGAGAAAAAAGAUAAAGAAGAAAAGAAACAAGGUGAAGCUGAGGAAAGCAAAGGAGAAGAUGAUAACAAGACAGACAUUAAGAAAAAUGAAUAUUUGCCUGCAAAAUACUACUACAAUUAUAAUAUGGAGUAUGCUAAUUAUUCCCCUCAGAUUUUCAGUGAUGAAAAUCCUCAUGCUUGCUCUCUCAUGUAACUUUUUCAGCUAUAUAUAUGCUUUAGUUAUUGUUUAUAAACAUGAUCGAUUGACAAUUGAGUUGUUUAUUACUAUUAUUACAUCAUUUUUUGCCUUCUCACCGUGUUUUAAAUUUCAGUUUCUUGUUUGAUGAGUGUGAAGAAAAAGUGUAAAUGAAGUCUCUAAAUUUGAUAAGCGAAGAAAUCGAAAGUGAUUUGAGGCAGAACUGAAAAUACAAAUCCCUAAUUUCAGAGAAGAGAGAGAGCUUCUGUAUUAUUAUCGAAAUGAUGCCUAAAAAGUGUCGUGUACAUGUGUGGCCCUUUGUAUCUUCUUAACACAAUGAAAUGAAAUAUACAGAAAAAGAAUAACUUGAGCUUUUGACCCGAUUGGGCCUAGUUAUGAAGUUUGGUCCUGGACUAUGAAAAUAGAGAUCCAACACCCCAAAAACACGAACAUGACAUUUUUCCAGAAUCCAGACGUCAUUUAAUUGGCUGGCUUGACGAAGGCAAGAUGACAUUUAACUUGGAGGGAUAUUACACAGAAGGCAAGAUGACAUCUGUGUUACUUGACUUGGCUCAUUUGGCUAACAAUUCACUAAAAGAUGGGGAUUUGCUGUCGUUGAAUAUUCACAGAUGAGCUUUUGAACGCACUAACUUGUAACUGAGCAAGUUCCAUUCAGCUCUCGAACUAUAAUAAUCAUGGGAUUAUUAUAAUCACAGGAUUAGCAGAAGUUGCAUAGUAGAUCAGAUGAAAAACGACUUGCUAUUUUAUUAGCAGAGAAAAUUAGGCUAGUCAAAUUAUAUUAGAUUAUUAGUCAGAUCACUAAUGUCUAUAUUGAAAAGAUGUACGUACGCAAGUGGAAAAAAGCUGGACCAGGUUCAUGAGCUCAAGCCUAAGUUAACUUCCCGACGAGGAAGAAGUCUAAGAUGAAGAGGAGGAAACUUAAAGAAUGAUGAACUUAGCUAUAAUCUCUGUUUACCAAACUUCAGUUUCUCUGACUAAAAAAGAUUUAUAUCGAGGAGAGAAACUGCACAAGGAAAACCCCCAACAAGCUCUUUUCCAACUCAGAGUCAGAAAGUUUUUAGGUGAUUAAAACUGAA